UCGCCGGUUUGUGCGUCCCCUAAGAACCAUCAUGUGGGUAUCACCUGGGCUGCCACCGUCCACUAGUCACGUCUGCCUGUCCCUGUGCUUAAAGCACUCAUCGUACUUCGCAGAAGAUUCGCUCACACGCUGCCACCCACUUGGGCCGCGGACUCGCAGCCUCCUGUGUUCUGGCUUCACCAGCCUCUCAAAGGCACCUGCACCAACCUUGGCUCCUUCAGUGAUGCCACCCCAGCCCUCCUUCCAUGACC
ensembl:lncRNA